UCUCAUAUUGAAACUUAUAACCAAACUUUUAUGCAAAACACAAAUCAAAGCACUUCACAACUUUUUGCUCUAAACUCUAUUCACAUCAAUUGAAGUUCACAAAAGAAGAUGGAAUCUCAAUCCAUCCGGGUCGUACUCAAGACCCCCUUCAGAAUUAUCUUCUUCUUCCAAAAAUCAUUUUCCUCAAGUUCGCCUUCGAGUUCUCCUUCUCAGACUCCUCCUCCUCAGCUCCUCAACGGAGUCCUGAAAUGUUUUUCCCCAAACUGGGAUGAGACUACGUCUCAGCGAGUUCUACCCCACUAAGCCCGAUUAGUAAACCAUUAUACUAUAGGCUGCCUAAACACGCAUAGGGCAGAAGACUUACCUUGGCCUCAUAUUCCACCUGCAAGUCAGUACAAUUCACAUACCUUACGUAUAGAAUCGAUACAUCCAGCAAUUGAAACGCAUCACUCAACUCAACAAAUCACAAGGGUCCAGAUUAUAGGGCCAAAUCGUUAUGACACGUCCCAUUCCAUGUCACACAAUUUUGUCUCAUAAUCCGGCGCAUCAAACUCAACCAUCAUGCGUUCCAAUUGUUAAUUACACCCCUCAAGGGUACGGCCAACUCUAUUGGCGGUCUUCUGGCAUUACCAGGCGUCGUCUCUCCCCGUGAGCACGGCAACGUCUCUCAAUUAGACGGCUUCCCCGAAGGGGCGUAGGUCCAGAAUCUACUGCGACCCACUACCCUAAUGCAUGGGUAACCCGAAAAGGGAUUUAGUAACGUCCGGCAUAAUUGCUCGAGACUGGUUCUCUUAACCAACACACGACCACUCAAUAUCGGCCCAGGACCCUGUGCAUUGCACUCAAAUGCCUCCGUUAAAAUAGUGAUCCUGGCCUAUUUCCUUCGUAUUAAAAACAUCCCGAAAAUAGUCGUGUGUGGGUACACGGUCAAUUCGAACCAAAAGACUGAUACUUAUCUUUUUCAAACCCCACUAUUUGAUAUAGUACUAAAAAUCCAUUUUUGGUGUUAAAACCCGAGACCCGGGAUUUUCUGAAUAAAUAUCAAAAUCCACAAAUUUUGGAAUUAAAUACCAAGAAUCCAAUCAGCACUCCAUUUGCAUAAUUUAACACUCAAUUGCAGAACUUAACCACACCAUUUACCAAUCCACAAUUCAGUCUCAAUCAAUUCCAAUCAAUUUAGAGUAAAUCUCUAAAAUAUCACAAUUUAUUUAAUUCCAUACAACGUGUAGCUCAUAUAAAUAAACGGACUGCGCCACGACGAUCAGCACGAGAUUUUGGUCGUCGGCCAUCAAAAUCUUAAUUUCCGAAAAAUAAUUAAUUUAUUAUGAAUUUCGAAAUGAAAUAAUUAAUAUUAAAAAUUCAAUUUAGCACAAAAUAAAGCCCAAUUAAAUAAACGGACUUCACCACAGUCAUCAGCAUAAAAUUCCGAUUCCGGGACCAUCUCAGUUGAAUUUUCGGAAAAUAAAUAAAUAAUUAAUUUAAUUCCGAAAAAUGAUAUUUAAAUGCCAAAAAUCACACUUAGGCCCGAAUCGCCAAAUUGAAGCCCAAUUAGGGGUCGGAAAAUUUCCGAGAUACUUCCAAUAAAUAGUAGACCACGUCUACUUGUUAAUUGCGCAAUCAAUUUAUCUAAAUCGCAUCACAAUUGACUAAUAAUUGUUAAUUUAUUCUAAUCUAACAACCUAAACAUAAUUAAUUAAAACUAAACCAACAUUAAGGAUAAUUAGCCAACUAAUCCUGAAUUAGUGAGAUUACUCACCAAAUCGCGAGCAAAUCGGAUCAAUCCGACGACGGCGACGCGAGGAACAAAACUUCCCAAAGCGACUCGCGGAUCCGGGGCCCGGAAACGGCCCAAAAGCGGGCCCGAACCAGCUGGAAACCCAUUUCGUGGGUUGCUGGUUGGCUGCGAAACAGGGGAAAACAGAGAUGGUUAGAGGCGGAGAGGGGUCGGGAAAGCAAGAGGCAGUCCGGUGAGGCCACACGGCGGCUCCGGCGGCUUGCUCGGCCACUCACGGUGGCUGGACGAGACGGAACAGGGGCGAGAGACGCACGGGGGAGGCCUGAGCGCGAGGAAACGAGGCUGGCGGCGCACGGCGGUGAGCGGCGCGCACACGGGCGCGGGCGCAGGCGUGCGGUGCGACGACGAGACAAGCGGCGACGGUGAGCUGCAGCUUCUGGUUUGGGCUUGCUGGUUCGCACGCGACAAAGGAAGGAGAAGAAGAAGCUGGUUCUAUCGUGUGCGGGAAGGAAGAAGAGAGAGGAGAGAGAAGAGAGGGGAGAGGAUAUGCAUUGACCGGUCAAAAAGGGAAGGGAGAGAGAAUAGGCGGUGGGGGAAAAAGAAUUCGCACGAGGGGGAAGGGAAAAGGGAAAGGAGAGAGAGAGAAAAGAGAAAAGAAAGAGAAUAAAGAAAAGAAGAGAGAGGGAGAGAGGGAAAUAAAAUAUUAC
rnacentral:lncRNA from 1 species